CAUGGCCUUUUGCUAUUAAUAUAAGGUCUGACCUGCCCAAUGAUAAUUUAUUAAAUGGCCGCGGUAUUUUGACCGUGCAAAGGUAGCAUAAUCAUUAGUUUUUUAAUUGGAAGCUGGUAUGAAAGGUUGAAUGAGAAAAUAACUGUCUUUAUGAUAUUUGAUUAGAAUUUUAUUUUUAAGUAAAAAAGCUUAAAUAUGAUUUAAAGACGAGAAGACCCUUUAGAGUUUUAUAAAAUUUAUAUUUUUGAUUUUUUAGAAUUAAUUAUAAUGAAAUUAAAUUUUAUUUGAUUGGGGUGAUUAAAAAAUUUAAAUAACUUUUUUUUUAUUAUACAUUGGUAUAUGAAUAUUUGAUCCAUAAAUUAUGAUUAUAAGAUUAAAUUACCUAAGGGAUAACAGCGUUAUUUUUUUUGAGAGUUCUUAUCGAAAAAAAAGAUUGCGACCUCGAUGUUGGAUUAAAAUUAAAUUAUGGUGUAGAGGCUAUAAC
rnacentral:rRNA from 1 species